CCUACGGGUGGCAGCAGUGAGGAAUAUUGGUCAAUGGGCGCGAGCCUGAACCAGCCAAGUAGCGUGAAGGAUGACUGCCCUACGGGUUGUAAACUUCUUUUAUAAAGGAAUAAAGUGAGGCACGUGUGCCUUUUUGUAUGUACUUUAUGAAUAAGGAUCGGCUAACUCCGUGCCAGCAGCCGCGGUAAUACGGAGGAUCCGAGCGUUAUCCGGAAUGACUGGGCGUAAAGGGUGCGUAGGUGGUUUGACAAGUUAGUAGCGCAACUCCGGAGCUCAACUUUGGAACUACUACUAAAACUGUUGGACUUGAGUGCAGGAGGGGCAAUCGGAAUUCCUAGUGUAGCGGUGGAAUGCGUAGAUAUUAGGAGGAACACCAGUGGCGAAGGCGGAUUGCUAGACUGUAACUGACACUGAGGCACGAAAGCGUGGGGAGCAAACAGGAUUAGAUACCCUUGUAGUC
rnacentral:rRNA from 1 species